rnacentral:rRNA from 1 species
GGAAUAUUGGGCAAUGGGCGAAAGCCUGACCCAGCAACGCCGCGUGAAGGAAGAAGGUUUUCGGAUCGUAAACUUCUGUCCUUGGUGAAGAUAAUGACGGUAGCCAAGGAGGAAGCCCCGGCUAACUACGUGCCAGCAGCCGCGGUAAUACGUAGGGGGCGAGCGUUGUCCGGAAUGAUUGGGCGUAAAGGGCGCGUAGGCGGCUGAGUAAGUCUGGAGUGAAAGUCCUGCUUUUAAGGUGGGAAUUGCUUUGGAUACUGCUUAGCUUGAGUGCAGGAGAGGUUAUCGGAAUUCCCGGUGUAGCGGUGAAAUGCGUAGAGAUCGGGAGGAACACCAGUGGCGAAGGCGGGUAACUGGACUGCAACUGACGCUGAGGCGCGAAAGUGUGGGGAGCAAACA